rnacentral:rRNA from 1 species
CCUACGGGGUGCAGCAGUGGGGAAUAUUGGACAAUGGGCGAAAGCCUGAUCCAGCCAUGCCGCGUGUGUGAAGAAGGCCUUCGGGUUGUAAAGCACUUUAAGUGGGGAAGAAAGCCUUGGGGCUAAUACCCUCGAGGAAGGACAUCACCCACAGAAGAAGCACCGGCUAACUCCGUGCCAGCAGCCGCGGUAAUACGGAGGGUGCGAGCGUUAAUCGGAAUUACUGGGCGUAAAGCGCGCGUAGGCGGUCUGAUAAGCCGGUUGUGAAAGCCCCGGGCUCAACCUGGGAACGGCAUCCGGAACUGUCAGGCUAGAGUGCAGGAGAGGAAGGUAGAAUUCCCGGUGUAGCGGUGAAAUGCGUAGAGAUCGGGAGGAAUACCAGUGGCGAAGGCGGCCUUCUGGACUGACACUGACGCUGAGGUGCGAAAGCGUGGGUAGCAAACAGGAUUAGAUACCCGGGUAGUC